AGAUUUAUGCCAACUCAGACAGUCAGAUACCGACAAACGAUACGAACAAACUAUUUAACCACUCCAUGCAACACCCUCACAAACAAUGCCAUACGAACGAUGAGACCAAAGUCAAAGUCACUAACGAGAAGACAAUUAAUUGCGCUAUAACUUGGACGAUGAGUAAUGUUCUUACUUAGCGAGGCUGCGCUCGUGCAUACAUAGAAAUGGCAUGCAGAAAUGGCAUGCAGAUAAAAAUACCUACCUAUUCAUUCCUUAUUCUUCUAAAAGUACAAAAUAUUAUGUAAUAUAAUGACCAAAAGUUAAUAAUUGCUUUUGCUAGUGCCGUGGUGGUGGGAGAAUAAAACCAUCACACCGUUAAGUCCAUCAUUAUAUCGUCAUUACGUUAUGUUACAUGUUCCGCUGCUUUUUAAGAAGCUCCGCAGGUGCACACAGAAUUCAUUUUUAUGUAAAGAAAAAAAACGAUCUUUGCCAUCACCACCAUGAAUAAUUGUUCUUCCUUAUUUUACAUAACUUUUAACCUGUAAAAAUACAUAAUUUUGGAGGAUGAGCCAGCUAAAUUCAAUCCAACCAAGAAUAGUACUUGCUAUAUAUGUAACUUUUAAUGCUGGUUAAAAUUAAAUAGUUGUAUCUUCUCCGCUGGCUGACACACAGCACAUCGAGAGAGUUACAUACAAGAAAAGAAGAGAGAUUACGAGUGAUAGAAGUUAAGAGGUUCAUCUUUAAAGAGACCUUGGCCAGCCCAAUUUUAAGUAUUUUUUUACAAGUGUCACGCAUCCAUAUAUUAUGCAUUUAAGCAUCUCUACUUACUACUUGUGUCAUUCCACACAUGUAAUUUUAUCUUUAUGUAUGUAUGUAUCUGCGUAAAAUUAUUUUUGACACGUUUUCUGACGUAAAAUCUGCACAUCUCUCGCUAAACUCGAGCUCUCUGAGGAGAAGAAUAUUUUUUAAAACUUUUAUCCUCCUCCUUGUCCCGCAAUUUAUGAAUGUUUACUAAUUAUAUUUCAACCCAGGAGGAUAGUAUUUCUUCGUUACCUGUGUAAUCAUCGUUACGACGUGGCAGUUUUAUUGCCUUGAUGAAUGAAUGGAAGACAUUGUUUAAUAGCAAGUCUCGAGCGAUUUUCCCAGCAAAAUUGCAAGGUAGUUGUGUAAGUACAGGUCGUGCCUGGUGGUCAUGAAAUAUAUGUUUACUUUCGUUUGUCCGUGAAUUUUAUCCUGUACAAUUUCUCGUUUUAAAAAAUGUUCUAUCCUUCGGCUAUAAUAAACUUGGCUUAGGAGAAGAGAGAACAAGAGAAAAAAUCAACUAGUUUCUGCACAAGGUCGAUCCUUCUCUCAGAAAGGCACAGACCUAGCUUAAAACGAGACCAUUUACUUUAUAAAUCAUGACUUUUUAAAUCCGCAAUAUAAAUUUAGUAGACAAAAA